GAAAUGCGAUACGCAGUGCGAAUUGCAGAACGCGAGUCAUCAGAUCUUUGAACGCAAGUGGCGCCGGUUAGCAGCCGGCAUGUGGGGCUCAGUGUGUUUGGAAAUCAUAUACGCGCAAUGUGGUUGAAGGGGGGCGUUAAACCCUCCCUACUCCCAUUAAACGCAGCGGGCGCUCAGCAAGGCACUCUCGUAAAAAAAGAGAGCCUGCGUGCACAAACUCCCCGCUCACCGCAACUCCGGUAGUAGUCACUAGCAUCCUAGUGAUCUACGGGGGGCGAUGUGUGAGCGGUGGCAGACGCACGCUAACAAAUGAGCGCCUUUCUAUAAACAAAAAUUUCUCCUCACUCUACACCUGAGCUCCGCAAGACCACCCGCUGAACUUAA
rnacentral:misc_RNA from 1 species